GGCCGGGCCGCGGGCGGGCCCGCGCGCGCCCCCCGCCGUCCGGGCAGCUCAGACGCCGCCGUCCGGCCCCGCAGCGGGGCGAGCGGGGUUGAGCCGCUCCCACCGCCCCGGUGGGAGCGGGUCGGCUGGCGAAGCGGGAGGGCGUCCACAGGGGCCCUGGAACAUUUGGACACAUUAAGAAGCUGUUUGUGUGUUCCUGGCCAAAAUGAUUGGUCCCUGGAAGCAGCAGCGGCUGCCCCCUUGGCUGACCUGCCGCUGAGGGUGAUGGGGCUGGCAGGGGAGGCUGCAGGGCAGCAGCUGGCAGUAGGCGGGAGAAGGUGGAGCUGAGAGCAGCGUCGCCAUUCACCCCUCUUCCAGUUUGCCCUUCACUCAGCUCCUCCUGGCUGCCAGCUGAGCUCAUUCUUCCUCCUCUUUCCCCCAUCCUCCACCACCUACAGCAAAACCUGGGUAGCUUAAAAAAAUUAAAAAAGGAAAUGGAGAGACGUA